rnacentral:rRNA from 1 species
AGUGAACGCUGGCGGUAGGCCUAACACAUGCAAGUCGAACGGCAGCACAGUAAGAGCUUGCUCUUACGGGUGGCGAGUGGCGGACGGGUGAGGAAUACAUCGGAAUCUACUUUUUCGUGGGGGAUAACGUAGGGAAACUUACGCUAAUACCGCAUACGACCUACGGGUGAAAGCAGGGGAUCUUCGGACCUUGCGCGAUUGAAUGAGCCGAUGUCGGAUUAGCUAGUUGGCGGGGUAAAGGCCCACCAAGGCGACGAUCCGUAGCUGGUCUGAGAGGAUGAUCAGCCACACUGGAACUGAGACACGGUCCAGACUCCUACGGGAGGCAGCAGUGGGGAAUUUUGGACAAUGGGCGAAAGCCUGAUCCAGCCAUACCGCGUGUGUGAAGAAGGCCUUCGGGUUGUAAAGCCCUUUUGUUGGGAAAGAAAAGCAGCAGGUUAAUACCCCGCUGUUCUGACGGUACCCAAAGAAUAAGCACCGGCUAACUUCGUG